GAACUGUUUUAAUCAGAAUGUACAUUUACAGCGUGAGGCAUUAUUUCAACAGGUGGUACUGUGUUUACCAGCAAGGCUUCCUGUGUGGCCAUGUCACAUCUGAUUUCAAAGGCUCUGAUGUCACCGGGCUCUCGCACUGGGUAGGCAACGUUUACGUUGCACAGCAUCAGUUCCUGAAA